rnacentral:ncRNA from 1 species
AAACCGGGGAGCUUGUAUAUCAGGCUGAGAGGAGACAAUAGAGUCUCGACCCAUAUACCUGAUACGGAUAAUGCCGUCGUAGGAACAAAGAUGUUU